GAAAAUUUCAAUUUUUUUGGAUUCUUAAUUUAUUUUCAGUGUUAAUUUCUGAUUUAUUUUCAGUAUUAAUUCCUGAAUAAAUUAUUAUUUUUGAUAAACCCACUUAGAAUCUGAUCUGGGUUUUGCUUCGAUUCCAUAGUAAAAACCUUGAAACUUAAAGGCAUGAGGCACCUCCACGCCUCCCAAUCUGCCGACGUUAGAGCGCUCACCACAUGUUCGUCAUUAAUCCUCAAACAGUCGAACCCACUUCUCUCUCCCUCUCCGUCUCCGUAUGUGUUUGCACUGUUGCUCCAUCUGUAUGUCGUUAGAAACUACUUGAGCAGCCGCGAGCUCAGAUUUUCAGUUUCUAAACAAUGAGAUGAUGCGACUGUUCAAAGUGCUUUUAUCAUUAAGGAUUGUUUUGUUGCAAAAAGCAAGGCCAAUUUGUUUAGGGCUUGAAGAUUUCUACAUUCACCAGGUUUAUCUUCGACUUCAGGUGCUUUGUUCCAUUAACAACUUAAAGUCAGUUGCAACCAGAGUUUGGUUAUGAUUGGGUAAAAUAAGCUGAUUAUCUGCCUAUUUCAUGAGGAUAUCAAUAGGGACUAUCUACCCAAUCUUUUGUGUGUAAAUAGUAUGUAAAUACACAUCAAAUAUUAUCUUUUGUAUGUAAAUUUAUAAAAGAUGUGAAUAUUAGAACGAUGGCAAUAGAACUGCCAAUCCAUAUCGUUGUAAAUAGAUUUCUGUAUGUAUAUAAAUAGUAUUGCA